rnacentral:rRNA from 1 species
UACGGGGGGGGCAAGCGUUGUUCGGAUUUACUGGGCGUAAAGGGCGCGUAGGCGGCAAUUCAAGUCAGCUGUGAAAUCUCCGGGCUUAACUCGGAACGGUCAGCUGAUACUGCUUUGCUAGAGUGCAGAAGGGGCAAUCGGAAUUCUUGGUGUAGCGGUGAAAUGCGUAGAUAUCAAGAGGAACACCUGAGGUGAAGACGGGUUGCUGGGCUGACACUGACGCUGAGGUGCGAAAGCGUGGGGAGCAAACAGG